GAUGAACGCUGGCGGCGUGCCUAAUACAUGCAAGUCGAGCGAACAGACGGGGUGCUUGCUCCUCUGACGUUAGCGGCGGACGGGUGAGUAAUACGUGGAUAACCUACCUAUAAGAAUGGGAUAACUUCGGGAAACCGGAGCUAAUAUCGGCUAAUAUAUUGAAACGCAUGGAUCAUUAGUGAAAGACGGUUUUGCUGUCCCUUUUAGAUGGUUCCGCGCCGCAUUAGCUAGUUGGUAAGGUAACGGCUUACCAAGGCAACGAUGCGUAGCCGACCUGAGAGGGUGACCAGCCACACUGGAACUGAGACACGGCCCAGACUCCUACGGGAGGCAGCAGUAGGGAAUCUUCCGCAAUGGGCGAAAGCCUGACGGAGCAACGCCGCGUGAGUGAUGAAGGUCUUCGGAUCGUAAAACUCUGUUAUUAGGGAAGAACAAAUGUGUAAUUAACUAUGCACGUCUUGACGGUACCUAAUCAGAAAGCCACGGCUAACUACGUG
rnacentral:rRNA from 1 species